AAGGAAUAUUGGACAAUGGGCGCAAGCCUGAUCCAGCCAUGCCGCGUGCAGGAUGACGGCCCUAUGGGUUGUAAACUGCUUUUGUACGGGAAAAAACCCUUCUACGUGUAGAAGGCUGAUGGUACCGUAAGAAUAAGGAUCGGCUAACUCCGUGCCAGCAGCCGCGGUAAUACGGAGGAUCCAAGCGUUAUCCGGAUUCAUUGGGUUUAAAGGGUGCGUAGGCGGAAUGAUAAGUCAGUGGUGAAAUCCUGCAGCUUAACUGCAGAACUGCCUCUGAUACUGUCAAUCUUGAGUACAUUUGAUGUGGGCGGAAUGUGUCAUGUAGCGGUGAAAUGCAUAGAUAUGACACAGAACACCGAUUGCGAAGGCAGCUCACAAAACUGUAACUGACGCUGAGGCACGAAAGCGUGGGGAUCGAA
rnacentral:rRNA from 1 species